rnacentral:rRNA from 1 species
AGUGAACGCUGGCGGUAGGCCUAACACAUGCAAGUCGAACGGCAGCACAGUAAGAGCUUGCUCUUACGGGUGGCGAGUGGCGGACGGGUGAGGAAUACAUCGGAAUCUACUUUUUCGUGGGGGAUAGCGUAGGGAAACUUACGCUAAUACCGCAUACGACCUACGGGUGAAAGCAGGGGAUCUUCGGACCUUGCGCGAUUGAAUGAGUCGAUGUCGGAUUAGCUAGUUGGCGGGGUAAAGGCCCACCAAGGCGACGAUCCGUAGCUGGUCUGAGAGGAUGAUCGGCCACACUGGAACUGAGACACGGUCCAGACUCCUACGGGAGGCAGCAGUGGGGAAUAUUGGACAAUGGGCGCAAGCCUGAUCCAGCCAUACCGCGUGGGUGAAGAAGGCCUUCGGGUUGUAAAGCCCUUUUGUUGGGAAAGAAAAGCAGCAGGUUAAUACCCCGCUGUUCUGACGGUACCCAAAGAAUAAGCACCGGCUAACUUCGUG